UACGAAGGGGGCUAGCGUUGUUCGGAAUUACUGGGCGUAAAGCGCACGUAGGCGGAUUUGUAAGUCAGGGGUGAAAUCCCGGGGCUCAACCUCGGAACUGCCUUUGAUACUGCAAGUCUUGAGUCCGGAAGAGGUGAGUGGAAUUCCUAGUGUAGAGGUGAAAUUCGUAGAUAUCGGAAGGAACAUCAGUGGCGAAAGCGACUUCCUGGACCAAUACUGACGCUCAUGUGCGAAAGCGUGGGGAGCAAACAGG
rnacentral:rRNA from 1 species